rnacentral:piRNA from 1 species
UGGCAUUUUGACUAGCUUUCUCUCCUAAG